UUGCCAAGCAAUGNCUGUCNUUANUCAAGAACGAAAGUCAGAGGUUCGAAGGCGAUCAGAUACCGCCCUAGUUCUGACCGUAAAAGAGGCAAAAAGGGGGAACAACGAUGGAAACACAAAUUGCCAUGGUGGGGAGCUUCCCGGAAACGAAAGUCUUCCGGUUCCGGGGGAAGUAUGGUUGCAAAGCUGAAACUUAAAGGAAUUGACGGAAGGGCACCACCAGGAGUGGAGCCUGCGGCUUAAUUUGACUCAACACGGGGAAACUCACCCGGCCCGGACACCGUAAGGAUUGACAGAUUGACAGCUUUUUCAUGAUUCGGUGGAUGGUGGUGCAUGGCCGUUCUUAGUUCGUGGAGCGAUCUGUCUGGUUUAUUCCGAUAACGAGCGAGACUCUGGCCUACUAACUAGUCCGCGCAUUGCCUCUGUGCCGUUGGACUUCUUAGAGGGAUUCGCGGUGUUCAGCCGCAAGAAAUGGAGCAAUAACAGGUCUGUGAUGCCCUUAGAUGUCCGGGGCUGCACGCGCGCUACACUGGCAGAAUCAGCUGGCUUGUCCUGCCCCGAAAGGGGCGGGUAAACCCGUGAAAAUCUGCCGUGAUUGGGAUCGGAAAUUGCAAUUAUUUUCCGUGAACGAGGAAUUCCAAGUAAGUGCGUGUCAUCAACACGCGUUGAUUACGUCCCUGCCCUUUGUACACACCGCCCGUCGCUGCCCGGGACUGANCCAUUUCGAGAAACUUGGGGACAGCCGAUCCNGGUUGCCUUCGGGCAGCCGCUUUGGUCGAAACCAAUUUAAUCNGCAGNGGCUUGAACCGGGCAAAGUCGUAACAAGGGCAGC
rnacentral:rRNA from 1 species